UACGUAGGGGCCUAGCGUUGUCCGGAAUUAUUGGGCGUAAAGGGCGCGUAGGUGGCCCGGUCAGUUCGUGGUGAAAGCGCGGGGCUCAACCCUGCGUCGGCCAUGAAUACUGCCGCGGCUGGAGCACUGUAGAGGCAGGCGGAAUUCCGGGUGUAGCGGUGGAAUGCGUAGAGAUCCGGAAGAACACCGGUGGCGAAGGCGGCCUGCUGGGCAGUUGCUGACACUGAGGCGCGACAGCGUGGGGAGCAAACAGG
rnacentral:rRNA from 1 species